GGACCUUUAGCUCAAAUGGUCAGAGCUCUCGGCUCAUAACCGAGUGGUUGCAGGUUCGAACCCUGUGAGGUCCA
rnacentral:tRNA from 1 species